GAGAUCGUCCAAGAGCGAGAGCCGCAGCCGCGAGAGCGAAGAUGAUUCCAGCACGGAUGACUCCAAAGAUGGUUCGUCCGAUGGCGGAGGAGGAAACAAAAAGUCCUCCAGCAAGGACAGCAAGGACGGCAAUUCGUCCAAUGGCGGAGGGAACGACGGC
rnacentral:SRP_RNA from 1 species